CCUACGGGUGACAGCAGUCGAGAAUCAUUCACAAUGGGGGAAACCCUGAUGCUGCGACGCCGCGUGGAGGAAUGAAGUUCUUCGGUUUGUAAACCCCUGUCAUGUUGGAGCAAAUUAACAAGAUAGUACCACAAGAGGAAGAGACGGCUAACUCCGUGCCAGCAGCCGCGGUAAUACAGAGGUCUCAAGCGUUGUUCGGAAUCCCUGGGCGUAAAGCGUGCGUAGGCGGUUUCGUAAGUCGUUUGUGAAAGGCGGUGGCUCAAACCGAGGACGGCACAUGAUACUGAGAGACUAGAGUAAUGGAGGGGUAAGCGGAAGUCUUGGUGUAGCAGUGAAAUGCGUAGAUAUCGAGAGGAACACUCGUGGCGAAGGCGGGUUCCUGGACAUUAACUGACGCUGAUGCACGAAGGCCAGGGGAGCGAAAGGGAUUAGAUACCCCUGUAGUC
rnacentral:rRNA from 1 species